rnacentral:lncRNA from 1 species
UUGGGCUCGUGUAAGCUUGGAUGGCAUGGCUCGGAACGUGGUAGCGGUGCCAUGGACCUUACCGCAGGUAGUGGUGACCUUGGUGGCCAUCACGAUGGUUGCCAUGGUGGAGCCCCGUAGCGAUGGUGCCGCUCCUAUGAUCACAUUUAGCCUCAUGGAUCGCUGUGGUCCCAUUUCUUGAAUAUUGGAAUUUUCUAAAUUUCUAGCUAUUGUAUUUCUCUUUUACGUUUUAUCAAAUAAUCCUUGCAGAUAAACAAUUCUAAUAAUAAGAACGUACGAAAAAUCUACAAAUAGAUAAGAAAAUAGUAAAACCUUUUGAUGCGGGAGUCUUCUACGAGUGUGUGACUCUUCUCUCAAUGAAAGCACCAAUUUAUGGAUGCAAAUUUCAUCUUCCUUGAUCUUGGACAAAAUUGCACCUACAAAACAAUUAACACAUUUGGUUAAGGCCAAAAGCCUCACGUGCCCACGAUGAAUGGGGGGCUUUGGCCGAAGAACCUCUGAUGCCAAAGUUAGAAUUUAGAGAGAAAAGUGUUUAGAGAGUUUUUGGAGUUUUGUAAGAAUGUGGACUUAGGUUUUUAGAGAAAAUGGGGUUCAAUAUAUAGAGUAUGGCCGGUCCCCUUUGGAGAAAAGGUGGCCGGCCUUUGGGAUGUUUUUUGGGUGUAUUUUGUGGUUCAAUGUGUGAUUUAUUUGGCAAUUAAUGGAUUAAUUAGGCAAUUAAUCCAUUGAUUAGCCAAUUAACACAUUUUUAGAAAGAAAGUUUUAGAGGUUAUGGAAUGAAUAAAAUAAAUAGCUAAUUGAUUAGCUAAAAAUAGGAAAUGAGGUAACAGAUAUAUGGAAUGAAAUAGGUUUUAGGAGUUACCUUGUAGAAGGGAUUUGAUGAGAUAGGUUUUGAAUUGUUACCUAUUUUGGGCACUUUUGAUUUAGUUGAAGGAUGAUUGCCCGCUCGCGCGUAGGAAUCCCAUUGUACCUCAAGGGUAUUUUUGUCCUCUUUUGUCCAAAAAUCCACAUGUCGCCUUGUGAUUAUUUUUGGCUCCACAACUUGGUUCUCUGUUUGAGAAAAUACGUAGUAUGAGUUGCCAAUUAAAUCUAAACCGUAAGUUCAAGAAAUAGUCAACCUAAUAUGUGCCCUAGAUUCAUAUCCAAGCAACAUAAGAGUCUUAUGUUUCAAGACCAUUUAGUUAGAGGACAAUUUUCGCUCUCCGAUGAAAGGUGGUCAGCUAAGUGACUAGUAAAUCAUGUUGAUAUUGGCAACACCAUUUAUCCCCUCCUUAACCGAUUCAGUUAAUCAAACUGAAUUUUAAUUAAGGGACAUAGCUAGAUUAAGAAUCAAAAUGCAAGUACUAUUUUUGAUAGAUGUACAUGCAAUAUUUCAGUCCAGUUCAAAAAAAGGAAGGAAAAAAAGAAGAUAAAGUUUGCAUGCAAAGCAAUAACUUUGAGAGGUCUAACCUUGCAGAAGAUUUAAAAAGAGCACAAGCCAAUUUUGGUUAGUUAUAAGGGGAAGGUUCAACCUCUACUCGAUCGCUGCACCAAUAUGUUUCAAGGGUGUGGCUAUCCAUAAUAAAAUCAUUUGCACUAGGAGUUACAGAAAUAUAAGCGCUUUACGUUUGAGAUUUUCCUUCUCUCCCUUUGGGCGCUCUAUCAUAGCAUCUACUCCUCCUGCUAUGUAGCCAGACCAUAAAAACAUAAGAGCUUGACGGGGUUCGCAUUGUUAGGUCUUGUUGAUGCACAAAACCGGAGGUCUUGGAACAACGUAAAUCCGACCAUGAAUCUACAAGUAAUGUAAAUAACACAAGAUGUAUCAUAGUUCACCCCAAUGUUUGGGCUACGUCCACAUUGAGUACGUAUUUAUUUAAGGGAGAGAGAGCUCUGAGAGUGAGAGCUUUGAGAGGGGUGAGAAGGCUCCAGAAAUGACCUUCUCCAAUUGUGAGGGUGAUGGGUCUUUUUAUAGAAUAAAGACUCCUCACUUAUUACAUAUUUGCCCCUUCCUUUAUCACAUAAUUACAUUUAAUUCCCUCGAGUAUUUGUACGAGAUCUAAAUACCAGGUCCUAAAUAUGGUAUAAACAGUAGUCCCCCAAGUCUUUAGUCAAGAGAGUCUUUUGGCUGGAGACUUGAAAUUCAGUCCAUGUGUGGGCCGAAGUAACUAGAUGUUGUCUUGAACUAAUGUUCGAUGUGAGGCGGUACUCAAUCUGAAAUAAUGCUCAACUAGAAGUAGCACAUGCUGCUAGGCUGCUCGGCUCGUGGCUUAUGUUGCCUUGGUUGGCUCGGUUUGUGGCGUUGAAGGUGAGGGAGUCCCUUUUAUAGAAUAAGGGCUCGCUCUUCAAUACAUAAAUAUGGGCUAGAGUUGAUGCUCGCGGCGAGGCGGUUGCUCAGUAGGCGACGAUGCUCUCUAAUGAUGGUGAGGGAGUCCUUUUUAUAGAAUAAGGGCUCGCUCCUCAAUAUAUAAAUGAUGGG